AGCUCAACUGGUAGAGCAGCAACAAGACUGUUGGGGGCGGGUUCGACUCCCGCACGCCA
rnacentral:tRNA from 1 species